rnacentral:rRNA from 1 species
UCCGUAGGCGGGUAAUUAAGUCAGAGGUGAAAUCCCACAGCUCAACUGUGGAACUGCCUUUGAUACUGGUUGUCUUGAGUUACAGUGAAGUAGAUAGAAUAUGUAGUGUAGCGGUGAAAUGCAUAGAUAUUACAUAGAAUACCGAUUGCGAAGGCAGUCUACUAACUGUCGACUGACGCUAAGGGACGAAAGCGUGGGGAGCGAACAGGAUUAGAUACCCUGGUAGUCC